AUUGAACGCUGGCGGCAGGCCUAACACAUGCAAGUCGAGCGAGCGGCGGACGGGUGAGUAAUGUCUGGGGACUGCCCGAUAGAGGGGGAUAACUACUGGAAACGGUAGCUAAUACCGCAUACUAUCGGAUAACCCAUAUGGGAUUAGCUUGUAGGUGAGGUAACGGCUCACCUAGGCGACGAUCCCUAGCUGGUCUGAGAGGAUGACCAGCCACACUGGGACUGAGACACGGCCCAGACUCCUACGGAGGCAGCAGUGGGGAAUAUUGCACAAUGGGCGCAAGCCUGAUGCAGCCAUGCCGCGUGUAUGAAGAAGGCCCUCGGGUUGUAAAGUACUUUCAGUGGGGAGGCGUUACCGGCAGAAGAAGCACCGGCUAACUCCGUGCCAGCAGCCGCGGUAAUUC
rnacentral:rRNA from 1 species